CUACGUAGGGGGCGAGCGUUGUCCGGAAUGAUUGGGCGUAAAGGGCGCGUAGGCGGCCCGGUAAGUCUGGAGUGAAAGUCCUGCUUUUAAGGUGGGAAUUGCUUUGGAUACUGUCGGGCUUGAGUGCAGGAGAGGUAAGUGGAAUUCCCAGUGUAGCGGUGAAAUGCGUAGAGAUUGGGAGGAACACCAGUGGCGAAGGCGACUUACUGGACUGUAACUGACGCUGAGGCGCGAAAGUGUGGGGAGCAAUCAGGAUUAGAUACCCUGGUAGUCCACACUGUAAACGAUGAAUGCUAGGUGUAGGGGGUAUCGACCCCUUCUGUGCCGCAGUUAACACAAUAAGCAUUCCGCCUGGGGAGUACGGCCGCAAGGUUGAAACUCAAAUGAAUUGACGGGG
rnacentral:rRNA from 1 species